rnacentral:misc_RNA from 1 species
GAUGAAGAACGCAGCGAAAUGCGAUACGUAAUGUGAAUUGCAGAAUUCAGUGAAUCAUCGAAUCUUUGAACGCAUAUUGCGCUCUCUGGUAUUCCGGAGAGCAUGCUUGUUUGAGUAUCAGUAAACACCUCAACUUCCAUAUCUUUUUUGAAAUGGGAGUUGGACUUGAGUGAUCCCAACGCUUUUCCUCACCGAAAAGUGGCGGGUUACUUGAAAUGCAGGUGCAGCUGGACUUUUCUCUGAGCUAUAAGCAUAUCUAUUUAGUCUGCCUAAAAACAGAUUAUUACCUUUGCUGCAGCUAACAUAAAGGAGAUUAGUUCUUGUGCUGACUGAUGCAGGAUUCACAAAGACAGGCUUCGGCCGACUUUGUAAACUCGAUCACAAAUCAAGUAAGACUACCCGCUGAACUUAAGCAUAUCAAUAAGCGGAGG